rnacentral:misc_RNA from 1 species
GAUGAAGAACGCAGCGAAAUGCGAUAAGUAAUGUGAAUUGCAGAAUUCAGUGAAUCAUCGAAUCUUUGAACGCACAUUGCGCCCGCCAGUAUUCUGGCGGGCAUGCCUGUUCGAGCGUCAUUACAACCCUCAGGCCCCCGGGCCUGGCGUUGGGGAUCGGCAGAAGCCCCCUGUGGGCACACGCCGUCCCUCAAAUACAGUGGCGGUCCCGCCGCAGCUUCCAUUGCGUAGUAGCUAACACCUCGCAACUGGAGAGCGGCGCGGCCAUGCCGUAAAACACCCAACUUCUGAAUGUUGACCUCGAAUCAGGUAGGAAUACCCGCUGAACUUAAGCAUAUCAAUAACGGAGGA